UCCUGCAUAGCUCAGUAGGUAAAGAAUCUGCCUGCAAUGCAGGAGACCUGGGUUCGAUUCCUGGGUUGGGAA
rnacentral:tRNA from 1 species